GAUCCCAUCAGAACUCCGCAGUUAAGUGUGCUUGGGUGAGAGUAGUACUAGGAUGGGUGACCUCCUGGGAAGUCCUCGUGUUGCACCCC
rnacentral:rRNA from 1 species